UACGUAGGGGGCAAGCGUUGUCCGGAAUCAUUGGGCGUAAAGAGCGUGUAGGUGGCUCGGUAAGUCCGCUGUAAAAGUCCAGGGCUCAACCCUGGAACGCCGGUGGAAACUGUCGAGCUAGAGUCCGGAAGAGGCGAGUGGAAUUCCUGGUGUAGCGGUGAAAUGCGCAGAUAUCAGGAGGAACACCAAUGGCGAAGGCAGCUCGCUGGGACGGUACUGACACUGAGACGCGAAAGCGUGGGGAGCAAACAGG
rnacentral:rRNA from 1 species